rnacentral:misc_RNA from 1 species
CCUCCUUUCUAAGGAAACAAUUAUCAUCUUCAGUUUUGAGAGACUUAAGAAAGUUUUUCAUUGUCACUUGCUUGCAAAUUCGUAUUUGCAACAUUUUAAUCUUUUUAAGAUUAAGGGCCUAUAGCUCAGUUGGUUAGAGCACACGCCUGAUAAGCGUGAGGUCGGUGGUUCAAGUCCAUUUAGGCCCACCAUAACCACAAAUAGGCAAAUCUUAAAAAAGCUCUUUGAAAAGUAGAUAAACGAAGGUUAAAAAAUCAAAGG